rnacentral:lncRNA from 1 species
GGUGUUGUGUGGAAGGUGUGCGCGACGAUGGUUCGCGGCGAUGGAUCACGGAGCAAAUUGAGGUUUGGUGGAUUUUAUGGUGUUGACGAGGAUAAAGGCGGUGGAAUCGCCGGUGAAGGUGAUUCCGGCGGAUGUGUGGUUCGCGUGAGGUUUUGGAGAAGAAGAGGAAAAUUGUUUUUCUUUUUCUUUUCGUUUUUCUUUUUACAUAGAGAGUGAGUGUUGUGAGCUUAGAGAGUGAAC